rnacentral:rRNA from 1 species
GGAAUAUUGGACAAUGGGGGCAACCCUGAUCCAGCCAUGCCGCGUGCGGGACUAAGGCCCUAUGGGUCGUAAACCGCUUUUGUUGGGGAGCAAUAAGGCGUACGUGUACGCCGAUGAGAGUACCUGGCGAAUAAGCAUCGGCUAACUCCGUGCCAGCAGCCGCGGUAAUACGGAGGAUGCGAGCGUUAUCCGGAUUUAUUGGGUUUAAAGGGUGCGUAGGCGGGUGCUUAAGCGUGAGGUGAAAGCUCGGAGCUCAACUCCGGAACUGCCUCGCGAACUGGGUGCCUUGAAUGUCCGUGCCGUGGGAGGAAUGUGUGGUGUAGCGGUGAAAUGCAUAGAGAUCACACAGAACACCGAUUGCGAAGGCAUCUCACGAACGGAUGAUUGACGCUGAGGCACGAAAGCGUGGGGAUCAAACA